GGAGGUGUCGCAUAGCGGUCAAUUGCACUAGUCUUGAAAACUAGAGUCUUACGACUUCGUGAGUUCGAAUCUCACCACCUCCG
rnacentral:tRNA from 1 species